AGGAAAUGGCUAUAGACAACUUACGCAGAUUAGAUGAUGGGAACGAGGAAAUUUUAAUGGGCUCUAAUACAAAUGAAUGCAAUACUAAGGAUGAUCAAUGUAAUAUGCAGAUAUUAACAUUGGAACAUAACACUGACAGUCGGCUGGUUGAGAGUAGUUCUAUGGAUGUGGAAGCUAGAAAGAAACUGGAAUUUCAUAUGGAAGGUGUAAACUUAACAAGACCAGAUAAGGCCAAGCCUAAGGGAAGAACAAUCAAAAGUAGUGAGCAACAAGUUUUAAAAUUGGGUGCGAAAGGAGCUAAGAAGAUGAGCAGGAAAUGCCAGAAAUGUGGCAUAGCUGAUGGUCACAACAGCCGUACGUGUUUAACUGUCGAGGAUAAUAGGGUUCGAUUGGCUAACCUAUCUGGACGUAAGCG